AGAUCUAGGGUUUACGAUCAAUCGCCUUGCUUAGUGUUUCUGUCGGAGUCUUUCAACAAAGCUCCGACCUUUUCCUUCUUUCCCUAAUCUCUUUGUAACCUCGACUGUUUACCUCAUAUUGUGAAUAGAACGUCUUUGUAAGACCCACAAAAACCGAGUUCAUUUCACUAUCGUUCAACCUACCAAACUCGUACUCAACAUUUGGCGCCCACCGUGGGGCCUUACAAAGUAAC
rnacentral:lncRNA from 1 species